UCAAGCCCGGCUUGUGUGUUGGGCCCCGUCCUCCGAUCUCCGGGGGACGGGCCCGAAAGGCAGCGGCGGCACCGCGUCCGGUCCUCGAGCGUAUGGGGCUUUGUCACCCGCUCUGUAGGCCCGGCCGGCGCUUGCCGAUC
rnacentral:rRNA from 1 species